UACGUAGGUGACCAGCGUUGUCCGGAUUACUGGGCGUAAAGGGCCAGUAGGCGGCCAACUAAGUCGGAUGUGAAAUCCCCAGGCUUAACCUGGGAACUGCAUCCGAUACUGGAUGGCUUGAAUUCGGGAGAGGGAUGCAGAAUUCCAGGUGUAGCGGUGAAAUGCGUAGAUAUCUGGAGGAAUACCGGUGGCGAAGGCGGCAUCCUGGACCGACAUUGACGCUGAACGGCGAAAGCUAGGGGAGCAAACGGG
rnacentral:rRNA from 1 species